UACGUAGGGUGCGAGCGUUGUCCGGAAUUAUUGGGCGUAAAGAGCUCGUAGGCGGUUUGUUGCGUCGGCCGUGAAAACCUGCAGCUUAACUGUGGGCCUGCGGCCGAUACGGGCAGACUUGAGUUCGGUAGGGGAGACUGGAAUUCCUGGUGUAGCGGUGAAAUGCGCAGAUAUCAGGAGGAACACCGAUGGCGAAGGCAGGUCUCUGGGCCAUUACUAACGCUGAGAAGCGAAAGCAUGGGGAGCGAACAGG
rnacentral:rRNA from 1 species